CCAGGGGCGCGAUUCACAUCUCAACCGAAAUAUUUGUAAAGCGAUACGAACGAGUUACGAGAUGAAAUCCGCAAUGUUCAAAAACGCGAUUCAUAACACACAUACUUUGAUCUCGUUUUCAUAUCGCUAGUUCGUAUUGGGAUGGCUUGAGUGAAAUGAAUGAAACUAUAUUUUUUUAAUUGCCAUGCAAAAAUUAUAAAUACUACCACUAAUUUGUUUUAAAUAAUUUUGUUCCUACAAUAUAUUUUGUUGGAAUUAGUGUCGAUAGCAAGUAUCAAGAAACGGCUUUUUAAUUCAACGUUGAAGAAAUUCAUAACCUGUGGCACUUUUGACAGCCGCCAUGUUUUCUACAUAAAAACAUUGAUUUUCUUUGCUCAUUUUCGUAUCAACGUAGUUUUUUUUGGAAAAUAAGAAGAAAGGAAGUUUAACUAACUUAGAGAAAUACGACUGAGACAUGUAAGUAUCAAUGUAUUAACCUAUUUUUUUGGAAAUAUAACCGGUUGUAGUCAAGAAGGUAUUGUAAUUUACAAUGUAUCCAAUUUCUGUUUGAAUUGUUUUAGAAUCAUGAACGAGAUGAACACAAGCAGCAGCCGAUGUGCUUGAGUCGCAGAUGGAGCAAGUGCGUUAUGAGAGGGCCACGGCUUCAGCCCUCACAAUGAAUAGCUGAAGCAAUGAACAGACAGGCUGCAGUCAAUGAGAGGCUUCUUGAGCAGGGGCUCCUCAUAUGGAAAAAGGCUAAUGAAAGGAACAAUCAAGACUGGCGGUGCGCGGGAGGAUCCCGUCCCUGCGCCUGGCCUUCAAUGGCCUCACGCCUCUCUUCUUCCUCUUCUUCAUGCGUCAAUUCAAACAGAGGAGCACCUGUGAUUACUGAUUACCUAAGUUCCUAUAUACAAUAA